rnacentral:rRNA from 1 species
GGAAGUAAAAGUCGUAACAAGGUCUCCGUUGGUGAACCAGCGGAGGGAUCAUUACCGAGUUUUCAACUCCCUAACCCUUCUGUGAACCUACCUAUCGUUGCUUCGGCGGACUCGCCCCAGCCCGGACGCGGACUGGACCAGCGGGCCGCCGGGGACCUCAAACUCUUGUAUUAUCAGCAUCUUCUGAAUACGCCGCAAGGCAAAACAAAUGAAUCAAAACUUUCAACAACGGAUCUCUUGGCUCUGGCAUCGAUGAAGAACGCAGCGAAAUGCGAUACGUAAUGUGAAUUGCAGAAUCCAGUGAAUCAUCGAAUCUUUGAACGCACAUUGCGCCCGCCAGCAUUCUGGCGGGCAUGCCUGUUCGAGCGUCAUUUCAACCCUCGACCUCCCUUUGGGGAAGUCGGCGUUGGGGACCGGCAGCACACCGCCGGCCCUGAAAUGGAGUGGCGGCCCGUCCGCGGCGACCUCUGCGUAGUAAUCCACCUCGCACCGGAACCCCGACGUGGCCACGCCGUAAAACACCCAACUUCUGAACGUUGACCUCGAAUCAGGUAGGACUACCCGCUGAACUUAAGCAUAUCAAUAAGCGGAGGA